UCUCUCUAACCAAGACUCGCAGCUGUUCAAACAAGGUACUUACUUAGAGUUUAGUAGCACCAAGAGUGCUCAGUGAGGUUCAGGGCCACACUGUGCUACAAACACAGAGGAAGAGGUAGCCCAUCCCCUGAACCAUGUGCAGUUAAGAUGACACGCGUAGGAAGGGUUGUAGAAAGGAGAGAUUGAAAUGUAUGUGCCCAUGCUAUGUACGCUGAUUGAGAUCCCCAGUUAUCCAUCUGCCUGGCCGUAAUUGGCUGAUUUCUUACAGGUGUCCAGUAGCAGUGAGACUUUGGGAGUGGUUUGAAGAUGGCAGUUCAGGAAGAGUUUCUCUCACCCAAGGGGCAGCAUGGAUGACGUGAAGAAAGCUGAUAAACUAGUGAACUAUGCUGGUGUCACCUAAGCACAAGGGAUGGCGGAGGGGGUGACCUGAUGACUGGAGGAGCAGAGGUAUGAAGGGCCUUGGAGAUGAGGGCAAGCGGCUUGGAUAUGAAGAAGAGCCGGUGGAAGCAUUCAAAGGGGGCCAGCGAGACUGCCACAGCACUCUAUGGACGGUGAUCUUAGCAUAUGUUUUGCAUAGACUGGAGAAGGGUGAAGUGGAUGUCAGGCUAACGAAGAGGUGCUUACGGUAACAGGCAAGAGACAAUAUGGGGCUUGGGUACACCUCAGCGUCUGUGAAGUCAUGAGGAUCCCAGUGCUCCUGUGAAAUUGAGAUGGAGAAACUGAGGCACGGUGAGGGGACGUGACUCACCCACGGUCACUGGCAAAGCAGAUCAUAGGCCCUAGGUCUCCUGACUCCCAGUGCAGUGCCCAGUCCACUGCAUGGCCAGGAUUUUCAUCCCCUCAGUGUAUGCCCAUGUCUCUGUAUGCAGGGGUGUAAAUGGCUGUGUGGCAGGAGGGGGUGGAAGAGAGCAUAUAGGACGGUGUGUUAGGGAGUGGGGUGAAACAUGUCUAGGCAUCUACUCGGUGUAUCGAAUGGGGAGGGGAGUGUAACAGUUGUUCUGUAGAGUGGGAGGGGUGGGUGGCACAUAUGGGGUUCAGUGGCAAGUUUUGUAUAGAGAUGUUGAUAGGGUCUGGGUGCUCAUUUGGGAGAGACGAGGCAUGUUCCCAUGUCCUGUAAUUCACCCAUCCAACCCAGGCAGGUUCGCAUUUGUUUCCCUGUAAGAGGCGGUUGUGAUUUGGGGGUGUCUAUGCAGAACAGAAUCCUUAGCCUGUGGAGCCAGGUAGUCUGGGGUUAAAGCCACUUUUACCACAAGGCUAAAAUUCCCCGCUGGAAAUUCCCCGCUGACCAGCAGGGUCAAGAGCCUAUUAUCCGGGCCUGUGCUUACUAUCAGGGGGCGGUUCCUAUUUAAGUCUUUAAAGAGGUGCCUG